CUGAAAUAAUUUGCCAGCAUAAAAAUUCUGGAGGAAAAACUCAUCUGUUCAACCUGAAGACUGUGUUUUCGGACCCUGAUGGUACAUUAGCAUCUUCUGAAGUAACAUAAACUAUCCCAAAGCUACUGUCAGAGAAGGAAGCCCUACAGCUAUUUGAAGAAAUGAGGAUAAGAAUUUUUAUUCUCUAUAGAAUGAUGCAAAAUCGUGUUUGCUCUUGUGAAUAAAACUCAAAGCAUAUUUGUAAAGUAGAUUUUACAGGGUGAUUCUAGAUGUCACUUAAGAAAGCACUUUAGCUUAGAUGGUUUUUGGACAACAAAAGUGAGAAUCUGAAAAAAAUCACACUUUUUAUUAGGUUGUACAGAGUACACAAAAAUAAAACUAAAGAAUCAAGUGGCAUAUUUUUUCUAAACAACAUUGUCUAGGUUGGUUGAUUUUUAAUCUUGCCUCUUUUUAUUUCUUAGUUCUUAGUGUGUAUGUGAUGAUUAUGGUUCUGAAACUGUUAUGUUUGUAGAAUUGAAUUGCUCCUUUUACUGUGUGCCAUUUCUGGUAGAGACACAAUCUUCUUUGAGGCCAGGUGAUUCUGUGACUCAACCCAAGAUAUUUAAGCCAAGAGAAAUAAUUUGACCACUAACCCACAUGUUAUGAAUAUUCAAAUCAUUUUAAGUAAAUAAGUGUUAAUUUAAACUAAAUAGUUUUAUUUAAAUAUACAGUUCCUACUUCUAUGGACUUAAUUCCUAGGAUUACCAAAAAAUAAAAAAUAAAAAUCAAAUGAUUAAAAAAAUGCCAGAAUGUUUUAUUAAAUAAUUAAGUUCUUUGUAAGUUCAGUGUAGGAAGAAAUUUUGUGAGACAUCUAUUUUCUGCAAACACCACAAUAGAUUGAAUAUUAAGUACAUUAGAAAAAUUUAGUAGAGAUAAUGAAAGAGGUCAGGUGUUAACUCAAGAUAGGCUUUUGUAGGCAGAGAGGAAGUAAAUCUCUUGAGAAGAACAAAAUGACAGUGAUCAAAGAUGUAGAGCUUGAUCAGAA
rnacentral:lncRNA from 1 species